UCCCUUUCCUCUCAUUUGUUUUCUUUCUUUUUCUCACAAACACACAAACACUCCCUCACACUCUCCCACCAGUACCUCCAUGCCACCAUCUCCACCAUCAUUUUUUCCAGCAAUGUCACCGGAAAAUCCUUAGGAACCUCUAAGCAUCUUCAUCUUUUAUUUGAGAUUUUCAGAUUUAUUAGCUAUACCUUGGGUAUGGAGCUCACUUCUUUGGUGAUGAUUAGAGUGCUAUGUUAAAUUUGGAGACUUUUGCUGUAAAUGGUUGGUGACUCAAUCUUGCUAUGUUCAACGAGACCUUAAUUAAUUCUAUUGGAGUGCUUGAGGUUUGUUAGCCUUUGGCGUGGUAGGCCUAGACUCAAUGUUAAGGUCCUUAUUUUUGAUAAGAUUGUGACUUUGUGUAAUUUAAUCAGAGUUUUGUAAUAUAUUCAUGUAUUAUGUGGAGGCACAUGAUUUUUAGUUA